ensembl:lncRNA
CACACACACACACACACACACACACACACACACACACACACAGAGCAAUGUCAGGGUUAGCUGAUGUCUGUGAGUCAACACAAUCUUACAUUUGCUCAGCAACCGGUGUGUUCUUGUGCGGAUUGAACCUAGCACAGUAGAAUUCUUGGCACAUGGCAGCAAUGAAUGUUUUUUGGUUACCUAUCAAAAUGCAAACAUGGGUGUUGUGCAGAGUGCCAGAUAAAGGCAAGUAAAAAGUGUGAGAGAAAAAAUAAUGAAAAUAGCUUAACCAAUUACUACUCAGGUCUGGGAUUUGAGUUUAUUUUACUGAUAGAUAAUAAAUUAGUCUCUUGCUGUUUCAUGGGUGCUGUAAAAGACACAAGAUUCCUGGUUCAGAGGCAAAGGACUACUAGUCACAGCACAGGAAGCAACUCAUGCAUUAGCACAUUUGUGUCAGUUCCUCUUGCCUGCCAGGUACCAUGUGAAUGAAAUAAAGGUCUCAGGUGAAUGUUAUUUAGUGGAUUUACAUCACAGCUAGAGAACACUGAGCAUGGGGAAGCUGCCAUUUUAUGGGAAGCAGUAAGAAAACCUGUUCUGUAUCCUGGACGGAGACAUUAUUUCAUCUCUCAGGGUUGCUUACUACAAACACAACCCACACCCCUGAGAAAAGACAUUGGUAAAAAGCAGUCAAGAUGGGGUGCAUUCUUGGCACACCCUGGAAGAUGAGACGCAUGAGGGGCCAUCUCUCUCAACAUGACUAUUGGCCAAACUCUAUUCUAAGCACUUUACCUCUGUUAUCUCAUUAAAUCCUUACAACCCUAUAAUGUCCCCUAUUUUAUAGAUGAAUAAGGAUGCAUAGUGAAGUCACAGCUAAUAAACAAGGAAUCCAGGAGAAGCAUGGGUCUGAUGACUUGUAAAAUCCACAAGCAACCCCCUAAAAAAAGUUAUUGACUGUGUUAGCCUUCUCCAGAAUUGCUGGAGGGCAGGGGAGAUGGACCUAGUAAAAAAAAAUUAGGAGAGCUCACAAGAUGUGAGAUGAGGAUUCAAAGUCAUUAUAAUUAGAACAUUAAAAUGAGUGUGACCUUAUUUUACAACCAACCUAAUGAAGAAGGAUCUUGAUUAGUUACACAAAUAUGAAAAUAAUAAAGUUGGAAUAAGAGUUUUGCUCCAAAAUUAUAAUGAAAUUUGGUUUGGACCUGAAUCAUUGGGUUUAACUGGGAUGUGAAGGGACUUAGCCUACUAAAUCAGGUGUCAGGCAAAGGAAAAGGAAGGGAACCGUCAUUAAAAGAGCUAGCUUUUUCAUUUAGUUACUUAAUAAAAAUAUACCGAAUGCCUGUUUUGUUCUAGGAUUUGUAACUGGCUGGUGAUGCAGAGGUGAAUAAAUAGCUACAAACUCCCACGGGCAAUAGCACAGAGCCAAACUUGGCAGUUCCCCUUCUAGGAGCUCCUUCUACUGUUACACUUGCACACAUGUAAAAGGACAUUUUUGUGAAGUUACAUUCAGUGAAGUCAUUUUUUAUUUUUUUAAAAAAGAUUGGAAACAACCUAGUAGUCAUAGGUUAAAUUAUGAUCCAUCCACAGUGGAAAACGGAAUCACUGUAAACAGAGCAUGAGGAAACUCUUCGUGCGCUGAUGCAGAAUAAUCUCGUGGAGACCGAACAUGGUUAAGUGAAACAAGGUACAGCACAGGCUAUGGAACAGAAUAGCAUCAGAGUAUAAAAGAGGAACCUUAUAUGUGUUUAUAUUGUUAGAAGUAUACACACCAAAUUGGUAACGCUGGUGGCCACUGAGAAGGGAGACUGGUCUGCUGGGCUGGGGAGAGUUUGGAGGUAGAUUUUUCACUUUAUUCUGUUUGUUACUGUUUUCUAACCACUAAAUUUUCAGCUAGAUGAAUGUUUUACCUAUUGAAAAAAAUAUGUACAUAAAAUACCCAAGAAGGAUCAAACUGGAAGAAAAAGUAGUAGGAUCACCAAAAUUACAAAAUAAAAUGAAACACCAUUACUGUGCUCAAGAACUCAGUCUAGCAGGAGAGACAGCAAAAGACAAAAUAAUUACGACACAGUGUAAUGAUGGUGGUGACAGAGGCCUGCAAGCACCCAGGGUGAGGAGUUAGGGAAGCUGUUUUGUGAAAUGGGAGAGCUGAGCUGAGUUAUCCACAAGAGGAGUCGUCGAGGCAGAGGCAGGGCAUUUCUGACAAGGAGAAUGGCAUGUGCAGAGAUUUGAAAGGGCCCAGUGUGGUCUGAGGCCAUCCAGUCAGCAGGAUGGGCACGGAGAGAACAGGGCAGAAAGUGGGUGGGGCAGGUGGGCAAGAGUCACCUGGAGUGUAGUGUCCAGGAGUUUGGAUUUCAUUUCUAAGAAUUUAGGAGCCUCUGAAAGCUUUUAGACAGAACAGCUGUAUUAUGGGGUCUGUGCUUCAGCAAGUUCAUUCUGCAGGAUGUGUGGAGAAUGAAUUGAGAUAGGAAGAUCAGCUAAGAAGCAAUAGCGGUGAUUCAGGUCACUGGGACUUCGGCCUGCACCGCUGCGCCCAUCCAGGUCUCGGCACACAGUGGAGCCGCCCGCCCUCGGAAACAGCACCCAGACGGGCGAGCAGAGCGCUUCCCAUCCAGAGCUGGUUUGUUGUCAGUGGAAGUAUUGUUGAGAAACUAGGCUCAAAUAACAAGCAGGCCGCAAUCACGCUGCUAGUUAAUAGCAAAACUGGUCUUUGAACCCAGAUGUUCUGACCCCAAGGCCAGGACACUUUCUUCACUAUCACGCUUCCUUGUGGUUAAAUAAGAAAGAAUCCCUCCUGCUCUGCUCGGUCUGCAGGGUCAGUAGCUUUCCAUGGCCUUCCUGAGUAGGAAUUCCUGCUUAGGUGAGAACCAAGCGUCUUCACUUGCGCUCGCUGGUCCUCCAGGUCCCUCCUUUCUGUUUCCUCUUUGCAGGUCUGCAGCCCUCGCUGUGCCCUCCAUCCACCUCCUCGAGGACUCCACUUCGCUCUGCCAGUUUGAGCAAAAAUACCCAUAUUUUUCUCAGCCUCUGUGUAGUUUCCCAGAGGACUCUGGUCUUUCUUUGGGUUAUGUGCCCCUCCUUGGAUUGGUUAUCUGAGCAGAUAUGAUUAUCCCACCCUGGAUCACAUGCCUGGGGCACAGGCCUAGAGGCAGGCUCGCUUGGGAAACUGUAGACAGCGCAGUUUACCACACGUUUAACUUCAGCGACCAUUUACGUCAGAGGAAUGGCAUCAGAAAGCAGGACAAGGUGCUGUAAGAGCCAGCCCUUGUCUUGACAAUGGGAAACCCAGAAAAUCGCAGAGAAUGGUGUGUGGAAAAGUGAGAGAACCACAUGGUAUGAAGACCACCAGGUGAAGAACUUUGAAGUGCUACAACCAGAAAGUGCUGACGGAGAGCCAACAUGAUUCCUUCCACACAGAGCUGAGAAGUAAUACAAUAGGUCGGGUCUCCCCAUAAUAAAACAAAACAAAUAAACAGGAAACCAGUGGGGUUUCUGAGUUGUGGUCAUCAUCUGAUGGAAAAGAAUGUGAGACUUGGGUCAUCUGCAUGUUCCUGUUUAGUUUUAACCCUGUCAUUAAGAAGCUUUUGGGCCAGGGAUUUAGCCCAGUGGUUUCGCCGCCUGCUGCGCAAGUGCAAGGACCUGAGUUCAAUCUCCAGUAUCAAAAAAAAAAAAGAAGC